rnacentral:rRNA from 1 species
CUACGUGCCAGCAGCCGCGGUAAUACGUAGGGCGCGAGCGUUGUCCGGAAUUAUUGGGCGUAAAGAGCUUGUAGGCGGUUUGUCGCGUCUGCUGUGAAAGGCCGGGGCUUAACCCCGUGUAUUGCAGUGGGUACGGGCAGACUAGAGUGCAGUAGGGGAGACUGGAAUUCCUGGUGUAGCGGUGGAAUGCGCAGAUAUCAGGAGGAACACCGAUGGCGAAGGCAGGUCUCUGGGCUGUAACUGACGYUGAGAAGCGAAAGCAUGGGGAGCGAACAGGAUUAGAUACCCUGGUAGUCCACGCCGUAAACGAUGAGUGCUAGGUGUUGGAUCCUUUCCGGGAUUCAGUGCCGCAGCUAACGCAUUAAGCACUCCGCCUGGGGAGUACGACCGCAAGGUUGAAACUCAAAGGAAUUGACGGGGGCCCGCACAAGCGGUGGAGCAUGUGGUUUAAUUCGAAGCAACGCGAAGAACCUUACCAGGUCUUGACAUCCCUCUGACCGCUCUAGAGAUAGAGUUUUC